rnacentral:rRNA from 1 species
CCUACGGGAGGCUGCAGUGGGGAAUAUUGCACAAUGGGCGCAAGCCUGAUGCAGCCAUGCCGCGUGUGUGAAGAAGGCCUUCGGGUUGUAAAGCACUUUCAGCGGGGAGGAAGGCGGUGAGGUUAAUAACCUCAUCGAUUGACGUUACCCGCAGAAGAAGCACCGGCUAACUCCGUGCCAGCAGCCGCGGUAAUACGGAGGGUGCAAGCAUUAAUCGGAAUUACUGGGCGUAAAGCGCACGCAGGCGGUCUGUCAAGUCGGAUGUGAAAUCCCCGGGCUCAACCUGGGAACUGCAUUCGAAACUGGCAGGCUAGAGUCUUGUAGAGGGGGGUAGAAUUCCAGGUGUAGCGGUGAAAUGCGUAGAGAUCUGGAGGAAUACCGGUGGCGAAGGCGGCCCCCUGGACAAAGACUGACGCUCAGGUGCGAAAGCGUGGGGAGCAAACAGGAUUAGAUACCCUUGUAGUC